GAUGAACGCUGGCGGCGUGCUUAACACAUGCAAGUCGAACGGAAAGGCCACAGCUUGCUGUGGUACUCGAGUGGCGAACGGGUGAGUAACACGUGGGUGAUCUGCCCUGUACUUCGGGAUAAGCUUGGGAAACUGGGUCUAAUACCGGAUAGGAAUCACAUGUGGGUGUGUGGUUGGAAAGCUUUUGCGGUAUGGGAUGAGCUCGCGGCCUAUCAGCUUGUUGGUGGGGUAAUGGCCUACCAAGGCGUCGACGGGUAGCCGGCCUGAGAGGGUGUACGGCCACAUUGGGACUGAGAUACGGCCCAGACUCCUACGGGAGGCAGCAGUGGGGAAUAUUGCACAAUGGGCGCAAGCCUGAUGCAGCGACGCCGCGUGGGGGAUGACGGCCUUCGGGUUGUAAGCUCCUUUCGUCAGGGACGAAGCGAAAGUGACGGUACCUGGAUAAGAAGCACCGGCUAACUACGUG
rnacentral:rRNA from 1 species